rnacentral:rRNA from 1 species
UAACGCAUCUGUCUGACGGUACCUCCAAAGUAAGGACCGGCUAAAUACGUGCCAGCAGCCGCGGUAAUACGUAUGGUCCGAGCGUUGUCCGGAAUUACUUGGGCAUAAAGGGUGCGUAGGCGGAUGUGUAAGUCAGGUGUGAAAGCCCUCGGCUCAACCGGGGAAUUGCGCUUGAAACUGCACGUCUAGAGCAUGUCAGAGGCAGGCGGAAUUCCCGGAGUAGCAGUGAAAUGCGUAGAUAUCGGGAAGAACACCGGUGGCGAAGGCGGCCUGCUGGGACAGUGCUGACGCUGAGGCACGAAAGCGUGGGGAGCGAACGGGAUUAGAUACCCCGGUAGUCCACGCCGUAAACGAUGGAUACUAGAUGUUGGACACGCUGAAGUGUUCAGUGUCGAAACAAAUGCGAUAAGUAUCCCGCCUGGGGAGUACGACCGCAAGGUUUAAACUCAAAGGAAUUGACGGGGGCCCGCACAAGCGGUGGAGCAUGUGGUUUAAUUCGAUGCAACGCGAAGAACCUUACCCGGAUUUGACAUCCUUCGGACCGUCUCUGGAGACAGAGACUUUCUCUUCGGAGACCGAAGUGACAGGUGCUGCAUGGCUGUCGUCAGCUCGUGUUGUGAAAUGUUGGGUUAAGUCCCGCAACGAGCGCAACCCUUGUUCUUAGUUGCCAGCAUUAAGAUGGGCACUCUAAGAAGACUGCCGAGGUUAACUCGGAGGAAGGUGGGGAUGACGUCAAGUCCUCAUGGCCCUUAUGUCCGGGGCUACACACGUGCUACAAUGGUAUAGACAGAGGGAAGCUACGCCGCAAGGCCACGCGGAUCCUCAAACUGUAUCACAGUUCGGAUCGGGGUCUGCAACUCGACCUCGUGAAGGUGGAAUCGCUAGUAAUCGCGGAUCAGCAUGCCGCGGUGAAUAAGUUCCCGGGCCUUGUACACACCGCCCGUCACACCAUGGAAGUUGUCUUCACUGGAAGAUGCUGAGCCAGCCAGGCAGG